GAUGAAGAACGUAGCGAAAUGCGAUAAGUAAUGUGAAUUGCAGAAUUCAGUGAAUCAUCGAAUCUUUGAACGCACAUUGCGCCCACUAGUAUUCUGGUGGGCAUGCCUGUUCGAGCGUCAUUUCAACCCUCAAGCCUUAGUUGCUUGGUGUUGGGAGCUUAUCUUACCGAAAGGCGGACAACUCCUUAAAACUAUUGGCGGAGUCGCGGUGACCCCAAGCGUAGUAAAUCUUUUUUUUCUCGCUUUAGGUGUUAACGCUGGCUUUCUAGCCGUUAAACCCUCUUAAUUUUUAGUGGUUGACCUCGGAUCAGGUAGGACUACCCGCUGAACUUAAGCAUAUCAAUAAGCGGAGGA
rnacentral:misc_RNA from 1 species